UUUGGGGCCAUGGCUCAGUGGCAGAGCAUCUGCUUGACAUGCAGAUGCUCCUGGGUUCAAUUGCUGGAAUCUUCAGAU
rnacentral:tRNA from 1 species